rnacentral:rRNA from 1 species
AUGCCCUUUUUUUACGCCAGCAGCUUUUGCAAAUGAAUUAACAACCUGUCUAUCGCCCGAUAGCUUACCGCCUCCUGCAAAUGCUGACGCGAGAUCUGGUCAGCCAGUUCUAUGUCGGCAAUGGUUCUGGCCACUUUUAGUAAACGCUGCCAGGCGCGAAUGGAUAACCCAAGAUGCACCAGCGUGUCUUCAAGCCAGCGGGCGUCAUCGUGAUGCAAAACACAGUAUUUUUGGAUUUCGCGACCCUCCAGACGCGCGUUUAACUUCUUCUGGCGUCGGUACUGCCGUUCAUGGGCGGCGAUGACCCGCUUUUUUACCGUAGCGCUGUUCUCACCCUUUGAGGCGUGUUGGCUAAGAAUCCCGGGCGGAGGAAGCGGUAUCUCAAGCGAAAGGUCAAAACGAUCAAGAAACGGGCCUGACAACCUAUUAAGGUAACGUAGUGUCUGUUCUGGCGUGCAGCGAUUAUGGUUUCCCUGAUAAUGUCCGGUCGGGCUGGGAUUCAUUGCGGCGAUUAACUGGAACCUGGCAGGGUACGUUAUUUUCGCUCUGGUACGGGAUAAAUGAAUUUGACCGGAUUCUAUAGGUUCACGUAGCGCAUCCAGUGUGCGUCGUUCAAAUUCAGGCAAUUCAUCAAGGAACAAAAUUCCGUUGUGCGCCAGCGAUAUCUCCCCCGGGGCGGGUAUUGCGCCGCCGCCGACCAUAGCAGUAAGUGAGGCGCUAUGAUGAGGUGAGCGAAAGGGACGUUGCUGCCAUCGUUUUUGUACCGUAUCGGCAUUAACCAGACUGAGGAUCGCGGCGCUUUCCAACGCCUCUUCAUUGCUUAAUGGUGGAAGAAUCCCGCUCAGUCGACUGGCCAGCAUGGUUUUACCCGUACCCGGCGGGCCGAUCAAUAGCAGAUUAUGUCCCCCUGCCGCUGUAAUCUCCAGGCCGCGUUUACCCUGCUCCUGACCGAUCACAUCGCGAAGAUCGGCAGUUGCGGUAGGCGAUGCCAUAUCCUGAGCUAAAGGUCUUUCCAGGGCGUGUUUCCCUUCCAGAAAGGCGCAGACGGUUUGUAGAUGAUCGGCGAUAAAACAUCCUUCUUUGCUGAUAAGCCCAACCUCCGCCGCGUUCUCUGUUGCGACGAUAAUAUUUCUGCCGGCCCUGAUGGCUUCCGUUGCACUUGAUAUUGCGCCAGGAACGCCGCGUAAUGCGCCUGUAAGCGCUAACUCACCCACCAGCUCAUAUGCCUCAAGAUUCGACGCUGUAAGCUGCUCAGACGCGGCCAGAAGCGCAACAGCAAUAGGCAGGUCAUACCUUCCGCCCUCUUUCGGUAGAUCGGCUGGAGCAAGGUUAAUGGUUAUUUUUUUAGCCGGAAAUUCAUAUCCGCUAUUAAUAAUCGCACUACGUACCCGGUCACGCGCCUCUUUUACCGUGGUUUCCGGUAGGCCAACCAUGGUUAAUCCCGGUAAUCCAUUACUGAUAUGCACCUCUAUAGUGAUAGGCGGCGCAUUGACGCCAAGUGCGGCGCGAGUAUGAACAAUCGCCAGUGACAUAAUCCCUCCUGUUACGUGGAUUAUGCGGAAUAGAAGAGAAAAUCGAAUUACUGACUUUUUGUUUUUUAGCGGCUGAUUCCCGAAUUUUGGCGUCAUUUUCAGGUAAGAAACAUCAAACUGGGAGAACGCUCGCAGAAGCGAAAAGAAGGAAAACAGGGUGUAGAGUGC